GUUGGCGUUGUUCAGGUGCGAAGGCUGCGGCUACUUCUCCUGUCAAGAGGGUGACGCGGGUUCGAAUCCCGCCGCCGGCC
rnacentral:tRNA from 1 species